GGCAUCUUUUGGAAGUCAAAGAUUUAUUGCUGAAGGAUGGGCUCAUGUCUGAUUAGCUAGUUGGUGAGGUAACGGCUCACCAAGGCGACGAUCAGUAGCCGGUCUGAGAGGUUUGAACGGCCACAUUGGGACUGAGACACGGCCCAGACUCCUACGGGAGGCAGCAGUGGGGGAUAUUGGACAAUGGGGGAAACCCUGAUCCAGCGAUGCCGCGUGAGUGAAGAAGGUCUUCGGAUUGUAAAACUCUGUGAACAGGGAAGAUAAUGACUGUACCUGUUUAGAAAGCCACGGCUAACUACGUG
rnacentral:rRNA from 1 species